rnacentral:rRNA from 1 species
UACGAAGGGGGCUAGCGUUGCUCGGAAUCACUGGGCGUAAAGGGUGCGUAGGCGGGUCUUUAAGUCAGGGGUGAAAUCCUGGAGCCCAACUCCAGAACUGCCUUUGAUACUGAAGAUCUUGAGUUCGGGAGAGGUGAGUGGAACUGCGAGUGUAGAGGUGAAAUUCGUAGAUAUUCGCAAGAACACCAGUGGCGAAGGCGGCUCACUGGCCCGAUACUGACGCUGAGGCACGAAAGCGUGGGGAGCAAACAGG